rnacentral:lncRNA from 1 species
AACAAUCCUAAGUUGCUCAGUCCUCACCAAGGCAGGGGGCUGAGAUUUUCCCUCCAGAGAGCCCCCCGCCCCCAAGCUCUUUCGGUGGCGGAGACACCCAGAAAGAGCGAGGGAGGCUGUGGGUCUAUCUGUCCCUCUGCGGCGACUGCCCAGCCGCGAGGCAGGCCCCGUCCGUCCCCUUGGACGCCCCGCGCCGGGUCCACCACGCCACCGGCCGCCGCGAGCGGGCUCAGCCCCAGGGGUCUCUGCUGUGAGGCCACCCUCCUCCCGCCGGGCCCCGCGCCACUCGCCUUUCCCGUGCCGGCCGCGGACUCUGCGCUCCGGUUCCCACCCGCAGCCCAGAGUCUCCAGGCCCGCUGGUCGCGGGGCCGGCUCACGCCACUACCUGCAGGGGCCGCCGCGCCUCUCAGCGCCACGCCGCCGCCAUCUUGCAUUUCAAACCGGCUGCACUUUUCAGGGAGUCAACUCUGACCUGUGAACCCUAAACCCGGAACCGCUCGGCGGGCCCGCAAAGGGGCCUCAGCAGCUCGGUGGCCCCGCAGAGCGUGGGGACCCAGGGUGGGGGUGCGAGGAGAGGCGCGCGCCCCAGCGGCCGUCGGGGGCGGAGGGGGAGGGGAGAGAGCCGGUCAAGGAGUGGCCCUCCGGCGCGCGCGUCCUCCGCGCGCCCCCACCCCGUACGGCGCCGGGCUUUCCACGCCCAGACCCUGCUACUCCACUGGGGUCCGACCCCGGCCCCUAGUCCGGGGAUUGGCGCACCGCGGGAGGUAGGGAGCCGCCCCGCCCCCCUGUCAACAGAAGCCCCGCCCCAGGCUGCGGAAGCUCCGCCCUCUGUCAGGAGAAGCCCCGCCUUCCCAGGGCUCGAAAUGGCCCCGCCCUUUGCCGGCGACCGCUCCGCCCACUGUCGACGGAAGCCUAGUCUUCUCUCGGGUCAGCACAGAAGGCAACCCCGCCUUCCUUGCGCUCCGCCUUCCUAAUGUCACUGCUGGAUCGUGAGAGGCCGCAGCUCCACCCGCUGACACCGAAAGUUCAGUUCAGCCGCACUUGGAACCGCCGAGUAAGGCGGAGCCGCCCUCUGUCCCUCCGCCGCCCUCCUCCCCUCGAACAGCCACUCUCUCUUCCCGAGACUUCUUUCCGAGUCGAGGGCUUCACAUCUCGACGGCUUCCAGGGAACCAGCCCUGCAGCGGGGUCAGCGAGUGCCCGGGCUUUCGGGAACACCGCCCGGCGUCGCCGCCCCUCUCCACUCACUUUCCCUUUCCCCCGCACCGCCGUCAGAACCAGGAGGAACAGAACCAAAGCGGAGAGCGGCAACUCACCCUCCAGCCGCUCCACACGCCGGGUCCUGGACGCUCGAGCGCCCCUGGGCCCCUUGACGUUCACUCCCC